AGUGAACGCUGGCGGCGUGCUUAACACAUGCAAGUCGAACGAGAACGGAUUAUAGCUUGCUAUAAUUGGCAGCUAAGUGGCGCACGGGUGAGUAAUGUAUAGGUAAUAUGCCUCUUACUAAGGGAUAACAACUGGAAACGUUUGCUAAUACCUUAUACUCCUUAUUAACAUAUGUUAAUAAGGUAAAGAUUUAUUGGUAAGAGAUUAGCCUGUAUUGUAUCAGUUAGUUGGUGGGGUAAUGGCUUACCAAGACUAUGACACAUAACUGGUUUGAGAGGAUGAUCAGUCACACUGGAACUGAGACACGGGCCAGACUCCUACGGGAGGCAGCAGUGGGGAAUAUUGCACAAUGGACGAAAGUCUGAUGCAGCAACGCCGCGUGGAGGAUGACACAUUUCGGUGCGUAAACUCCUUUUAUAUGAGAAGAUAAUGACGGUAUUAUAUGAAUAAGCACCGGCUAACUCCGUGCCAGCAGCCGCCGUAA
rnacentral:rRNA from 1 species